rnacentral:sRNA from 1 species
AAGGGACCUAGCGUAGUUCGGAAUUACUGGGCUUAAAGAGUUCGUAGGUGGUUGAAAAAGUUGGUGGUGAAAUCCCAGAGCUUAACUCUGGAACUGCCAUCAAAACUUUUCAGCUAGAGUAUGAUAGAGGAAAGCAGAAUUUCUAGUGUAGAGGUGAAAUUCGUAGAUAUUAGAAAGAAUACCAAUUGCGAAGGCAGCUUUCUGGAUCAUUACUGACACUGAGGAACGAAAGCAUGGGUAGCGAAGAGGAUUGGAUACCCUCGUAGUCCAUGCCGUAAACGAUGUGUGUUAGACGUUGGAAAUUUAUUUUCAGUGUCGCAGGGAAACCGAUAAACACACCGCCUGGGGAGUACGACCGCAAGGUUAAAACUCAAAUGAAUUGACGGGGACCCGCACAAGUAGUGGAGCAUGUGGUUUAAUUCGAAGAUACGCGCAGAACCUUACCAACACUUGACAUGUUCGUCGCGACUCUAAGAGAUUAGAGUUUUCGGUUCGGCCGGACGAAACACAGGUGCUGCAUGGCUGUCGUCAGCUCGUGUCGUGAGAUGUUGGGUUAAGUCCCGCAACGAGCGCAACCCUCACUUUUAGUUGCCAUCAUUAAGUUGGGCACUCUGAAAGAACUGCCAGUGAUAAGCUGGAGGAAGGUGGGGAUGACGUCAAGUCCUCAUGGCCCUUACGUGUUGGGCUACACACGAGCUACAAUGGCAUCUACAACAGGAAGCAAAACGGCAACGUUAAGCAAAUCCCGAAAAGAUGCCUCAGUUCGGAUUGCACUCUGCAACUCGAGUGCAUGAAGCUGGAAUUACUAGUAAUCGUGGAUCAGCGUGCCACGGUGAAUGCGUUCCCGGGUCUUGUACACACCGCCCGUCACACCAUGGGAGUUGGUUCUACCUUAAGGCAAGGUUUUAAACCCUUGACCACGGUAUAGUCAGCGACUGGGGUGAAGUCGUAACAAGGUAGCCGCAGGGGAACCUGCGGCUGGAUUACCUCCUUUCUAAGGAUGAGUGAAAGUAAAAUUUCACUCUAAAUAAUAUACAUCGGUAAUGUUGACCGUCCUCAUUUCUCUUCUUAAAGUAAUGUUUCCUUCUUGUAGGGCCGGUAGCUCAGUUGGUUAGAGCACACCCUUGAUAAGGGUGGGGUCGAAAGUUCGAGUCUUUCUCGGCCCACCAAAAACCUAAAUGGGGGAUUAGCUCAUCUGGGAGAGCGCCUGAUUUGCAUUCAGGAGGUAGCAGGUUCGAUCCCUGUAUCCUCCACCAGGAAACAUUUAGUUAUUAAAACUGUAAAUAAAAAUAAUUUAUAUCAAUAUCUAUAUCCGAACAUUAAAAGUUAUUAUUUAAUGUUCAAAAUAAAAAUUUGAUCACAACAUAGAUUAAUUUUCUGUUAAAAGAAUUUUUUUCUGUGCAUAAAUCAAGCGUUUAAGGGCGUGUAGUGGAUGCCUUGGCACUGAAAGCCGAUGAAGGACGUGAUAUACUGCGAUAAGUUUCGGGGAGCUGUAUGUAAGCUUUGAUCCGAAAAUUU